rnacentral:rRNA from 1 species
UACAGAGGCCUCGAGCGUUAGGCGGAAUCACUGGGCUUAAAGCGUGUGUAGGCGGACUUCUAAGUACCUUGUGAAAUCCCACGGCUCACCCGUGGAACUGCUUGGUAUACUGGUUGUCUUGAGCCUUCUAGGGGCGAGUGGAACAAAUGGUGGAGCGGUGAAAUGCGUAGAUAUCAUUUGGAACGCCAAUGGUGAAAACAACUCGCUGGGGAAGUGCUGACGCUGAGACACGAAAGCGUGGGGAUCAAACAGG